AACAAGACUACCAGUCUAGGUUGAUGUUUGGGACACUAGAUAUUUGUGCAGUCAACAGAUUCAGUGGCUAGCUCGCGCUCUCUCUCUCCAUGCACCAAAAUAUCAAUGGGACAGUCAUGCAUCGAUACCGGGGGAUUGAUUCAACACAGGAAUCAACACAUGGUUACAAACUCGGUGGUCGUUAUGGUGCUGACAGCAUCA
rnacentral:lncRNA from 1 species